GUUAAGGUGGCAGAGUCCGGUAAUGCGUAAGCCCUAAGCCCUUUCAACAAAGGUUCAAAUCCUUUCCUUAACU
rnacentral:tRNA from 1 species